rnacentral:tRNA from 1 species
GGGGUUGUAGCUCAGUGGUAGAGCGCUUGCCUUGUAUGUGUGAGGCUGUGAAUUCAGUCCCCAGCACCA